rnacentral:rRNA from 1 species
UAAGACCUUGCGCUUUUGGAGCGGCCGAUGUCUGAUUAGCUAGUUGGUGGGGUAAUGGCCUACCAAAGCUUCGAUCAGUAGCUGGUCUGAGAGGACGGCCAGCCACACUGGGACUGAGACACGGCCCAGACUCCUACGGGAGGCAGCAGUGGGGAAUUUUGGACAAUGGGCGCAAGCCUGAUCCAGCCAUGCCGCGUGAGUGAAGAAGGCCUUCGGGUUGUAAAGCUCUUUCAGCCGGGAAGAAAAGGCUGCGACUAAUAAUCGCAGUUCAUGACGGUACCGGAAGAAGAAGCACCGGCUAACUACGUGCCAGCAGCCGCGGUAAUACGUAGGGUGCGAGCGUUAAUCGGAAUUACUGGGCGUAAAGGGUGCGCAGGCGGUUUUGUAAGUCAGAUGUGAAAUCCCCGGGCUUAACCUGGGAACU